rnacentral:rRNA from 1 species
AAUUAAGUUAUUAAGGGCAUAGAGUGAAUGCCUUGGUGCUAGAAGGCGAUGAAGGACGUGAUAAGCUGCGAUAAGCUUCGGUAAACUGCAAACAAGUGCUUGAACCGGAGAUUUCCGAAUGGGGUAACCUGAUACCGUUUAACGGUAUCGUUUAUUUCUGAAUAAAAUAAGAAAUAAUACGCAAAACCCGCUGAAUUGAAACAUCUUAGUAAGCGGAGGAAAAGAAAGAGAAUUCGAUUCUGUGAGUAGCGGCGAGCGAAAACGGACCAGCCCAAACCUUGGCUUUUGUCAGGGGGUUGUAGGACCCCAAUGUGGGACUUUGAACGAUAGGUGAAGCAAAUGGAAACUUGCGACAUAGAGGGUGACAUCCCCGUAACCGAAAUCCGACAAAGCCCUAGGGAGUUCCUGAGUAGCACGGGACACGUGAAACCCCGUGUGAAUCUGCGCAGACCACUGCGUAAGGCUAAAUACUAACUAGCGACCGAUAGUGAACCAGUACCGUGAGGGAAAGGUGAAAAGUACCCCUGUGAGGGGAGUGAAAUAGAACCUGAAACCCUAUGCCUACAAGGUGUAAGAGCACUUUCGAGUGUGAUUGCGUGCCUUUUGCUUAAUGAGUCUGCGAGUUACUUUCUGUGGCAAGCAUAAGAUCUUCUGGAUCGGAUGCGUAGCGAAAGCAAGUCCGAAUAGGGCGAACAUAGUUGCAGGAGGUAGACCCGAAACGGAGGUGACCUACCCAUGGCCAGGUUGAAGCGUCGGUAAUACGACGUGGAGGACCGAACCGAUUCCAUUUUUCUUUCUGAUCAAGGUGCGAAUGUGCAACACGUCGCAUUCACACCUCAACCAAUAAUGAGAGCGAUUGGAGAGGUUCAAAUUUCCGAAGGGCUUUUCCGACCGCAGGUCCAACUUUCA